UUCUACUCUGCGCAGUGCGUGAGCGAUGGUAACGGUUAUCCUUUUUGUUUGGGCUGGGAAAAGCUGGGCAACAAAAAGAUAAUAGUGGACAGCGCGGUCCCAG
rnacentral:sRNA from 1 species